CAGGAAGUAGAUACGCUAGAUGAAGCAGCACGGAAAUUCUGGUGUCGGUUUCUCCUUAUUAGCCCUUUGAAAGCAUUCCUUUUUCACACCAAAGCAUGAUAAAGUUCUCAAUUGCAAACUUGGUGUACGAGACUCUUUGUGUGGAGGUGUUUAACUCGCUGGAUAGCAGGUUAAGUCAUUCUGUGAGAACCAGCAGAUCGGAUCUUCAGACAAUCAGGACACAUGUCAACAUCAAGUGUUCUACAUCUGGAUAUCUGAAUGGAUCUCUAUAGUUU